rnacentral:piRNA from 1 species
UGCAACGUGUGGGCAGCCGCCAAGAGUGA